GUGGGGAAUAUUGGGCAAUGGAGGCAACUCUGACCCAGCAAUGCCGCGUGAGUGAUGAAGGUAAUUUUAUUGUAAAGCUCUUUUCUUUGGAACGAAUAAAUGACGGUACCAAAGGAAUAAGCCCCGGCUAACUACGUGCCAGCAGCCGCGGUAAUACGUAGGGGGCAAGCGUUGUUCGGAAUGACUGGGCGUAAAGGGUGUGUAGGUGGUUUGAUAAGUUGGAUGUGUAAUACCCAGGGCUCAACUCGGGUGCUGCAUCCAAAACUGUUAGACUUGAGUACUGGAGAGGAUAGUGGAAUUCCUAGUGUAGCGGUGGAAUGCGUAGAUAUUAGGAGGAACAUCAGUGGCGAAGGCGACUAUCUGGACAGCAACUGACACUGAGGCACGAAAGCGUGGGGAGCAAACAGGA
rnacentral:rRNA from 1 species